GAUGAAGAACGUAGCGAAAUGCGAUAAGUAAUGUGAAUUGCAGAAUUCAGUGAAUCAUCGAAUCUUUGAACGCACCUUGCGCUCCUUGGUAUUCCUUGGAGCAUGCCUGUUUGAGUAUCAUGAAAUCUUCAAAGUAAAUCUCUUGUUAACUCAAUUGGUUCUACUUUGGUAUUGGAGGUCUUUGCAGCUUCACACCUGCUCCUCUUCGUUCAUUAGCUGGAUCUCAGUGUUAUGCUUGGUUCCACUCAGCGUGAUAAGUUAUCUAUCGCUGAGGACACUGUAACAGGUGGCCAAGGGAAAUGCAGAUGAACCGCUUCUAAUAGUCCAUUGACUUGGACACUAUUUUUAUGAUCUGAUCUCAAAUCAGGUAGGACUACCCGCUGAACUUAAGCAUAUCAAUAAGCGGAGGA
rnacentral:misc_RNA from 1 species